rnacentral:rRNA from 1 species
AUGCAUCACAUCACCACAUCUACUUGGGUGACGAGGGCUUCGGUUAGAGAAUGGUGUAACGAUAACCAUCAGAUCCGUCUCAGCUCGCCCAAGGCGCUGGCCUCCCUCGCGAUGCUCAUCUUUUGGGAGGUUUGAUCGGCGGGCAAUGCUAGAGUCUUCCACAACUCGGUGACCCCUUUCAUGGUCAUCAUCAACAAAAUCAAACAUGAGGUGGUACUUUGGGCUUUGGCUGGAGCGAAACAUUUGGGUAUUGUAAUACCGCGAGAGUAG